GCUGAGAUUGUGGCUCAGCGGUAGAGCGCUCACCUAGCACGGGCGGGACCUGGGUUCCAUCCUCACUCAGCA
rnacentral:tRNA from 1 species